UACGGAGGGUCCAAGCGUUAUCCGGAAUCAUUGGGUUUAAAGGGUCCGUAGGCGGUCUUAUAAGUCAGUGGUGAAAUCUCCUAGCUCAACUAGGAAACUGCCAUUGAUACUGUAAGACUUGAAUACUUGUGAAGUAACUAGAAUAUGUAGUGUAGCGGUGAAAUGCUUAGAUAUUACAUGGAAUACCAAUUGCGAAGGCAGGUUACUAACAAGUUAUUGACGCUGAUGGACGAAAGCGUGGGGAGCGAACAGG
rnacentral:rRNA from 1 species